AAACUACUCCCUCUGUCCCAAAUUUCUUGUCUUAGAUUUGUCUAGAUAAAGAUGUAUCUAAUACUAAAAUGUGACUUGAUACAUCCGUAUCUAGACAAAUCUAAGACAAGAAUUUUGGGACGGAGGGAGUACUUU
rfam:Triticum aestivum genome assembly, contig: Triticum_aestivum_CS42_TGACv1_scaffold_488499_6AS